rnacentral:rRNA from 1 species
GGUUUGAUUCUGGCUCAGAUUGAGCGCUGGCGGGAUGCUUUACACAUGCAAGUCGAACGGCAGCACGGACUUCGGUCUGGUGGCGAGUGGCGAACGGGUGAGUAAUGUAUCGGAACGUGCCUAGUAGCGGGGGAUAACUACGCAGCGCCAUCAUACCACAUACGCCCUUCGAGAAAGCAGGGGACCUUCGGGCCUCGCAUUAUUAGAGCGGCCGAUAUCGGAUUGGCUAGUUGGUGGGGUAACGGCUCACCAAGGCGACGAUCCGUAGCUGGUUUGAGAGGACGACCAGCCACACUGGGACUGAGACACGGCCCAGACUCCUACGGGAGAGCAGCAGUGGGGAAUUUUGGACAAUGGAAACUGGUCAGCCAUCCCGCGUGCGAUGAAGGCCUUCGGGUUGUAAAGCACUUUUGGCAGGAAAAGCAGCACAGGAUAAUACCCCGUGCAACUGACGGUACCCAGAAUAAGCACCGGCUAACUACGUACCAGCAGCCGCGGUAAUACGUAGGGUGCAAGCGUUAAUCGGAAUUACUGGGCGUAAAGCGUGCGCGGGCGGUUCGGAAAAGAAAAGAUGUGAAAUCCCGAGCUUAACUUUGGAACUGCAUUUUUAACUACCGAGCUAGAGUGUGUCAGAGGAGGUGGAAUUCCGCGUGUAGCAGUGAAAUGCGUAGAUAUGCGGAGGAACACCGAUAGCGAAGGCAGCCGCCUCCUGGGAUAACACUGGCUGCACAGUGAUAGGGCAAACAGGAUGAUACCUGACGUGCACCUAAACGUGUCAAAACUGUGCGAGGCUGGCAGGUGGCCGCAGCGGCAUGAAGUUGACUGCAAGGUACGGUUGCGGGCCAACUCAAAGGGUGUUGUGAGACCCGCGCACAAGCGGUGGGUGUGUGGAUUGUUUCAGUGCAUGCAAAAAACCACCUACCGACAUAUCCACUGGAAUCCGAAGAGAUUGCAGGUGCUGCGCAAGGAACUGAACACCGGUGCCCGCACCGGCUGUAUUAUUCGUAGCCGUGAGACGAGUGAUCCGCCAUGAAGCGCCACCUGUCAUAGAUUGCCACGAAGGCACCUCUGUUGGGACUGCCGGUGACAAGCCGGAGGAAAAAUGGGAUGACGUCAGUCCUCAUGGCCCAUAUGGGUAGGGCUUCACACGUCAUACAAUGGUCAGGACAGAGGGUCGCCAACCCGCGAGGGGGAGCCAAUCCCAGAAACCCGAUCGUAGUCCGGAUCGCAGUCUGCAACUCGACUGCGUGAAGUCGGAAUCGCUAGUAAUCGCGGAUCAGCAUGUCGCGGUGAAUACGUUCGGUCUUGUACCCCGCCCGUCACACCAUGGGAGUGGGUUUUACCAGAAGUAGUUAGCUAACCGUAAGGAGGGCGAUUACCACGGUAGGAUUCAUGACUGGGGUGAAGUCGUAACAAGGUAA